GACGGACGCUGGCGGCGUGCUUAACACAUGCAAGUCGAACGGAAAGGCCCCGUUUUUUUGGGUUGCUCUGGUGGCGAAGGGAUCGGUAACGUGAGAGUAACCUGCCCUGGACUUUGGGAUAACUUCAGGAAAUGGGGGUUAAUACAGGACAGGAGCUCCUGCUGCAUGGGGGGGGUGGGAAAGUUUCGGCGGUUGGGGAUGGACUGGCGGCUUAUCAGCUUGUUGGUGGGGUAGUGGCUUACCAGGGCUUUGACGGGUGGCCGGCCUGAGAGGGUGACCGGCCAGAUUGGGACUGAGAUGCGGCCCAGACUCCUACGGGAGGCAGCAGUGGGGAAUAGUGCACAGUGGGCGGAAGCCUGAUGCAGCAACGCCGCGUGCGGGAUGACGGCCUUCGGGUUGUAAACCGCUUUCGCCUGGGACGAAGCGUGAGUGACGGUAAUGGGUAAAGAAGCACCGGCUAACUACGUG
rnacentral:rRNA from 1 species